AUUAGGUUAGCUAAUUACAAAAACUGCCAUUUUGAAUUAAAAAUUUAUGAAAAUGAAACAAUUUAUAUCUCUUAAUAAAUGUCCGACAGAGAUUUGUUAUUUGUAAUCGUAUUUAUUGUGGCGAAGGUGGAUUUUGAGAAGGGCGGCGAAAACUCUCCGACGAAAACAAAAACGGCGAAGUGAAAUCGAAGUCGCGUAAAGUAAUUGACUGUGACGGAGAAACGGCGAAAGAGAUGGAGUCUAGUUCAAGUAUUCCAAAGAGUAAUUAUCCUCCACGACUGUAUAGAGAAGGGAAAUCUCCUAUACAGACAAGAAGCAUGCACCACAACUGCACUGUGAGUAGUAUUGCAAUAAUGAAGGAUUUCAUUGGAGAUAGCAUAUGCAGAGA